UACGUAGGGUCCGAGCGUUGUCCGGAAUUACUGGGCGUAAAGAGCUCGUAGGUGGUUUGUCGCGUUGUUCGUGAAAACUCACAGCUCAACUGUGGGCGUGCGGGCGAUACGGGCAGACUUGAGUACUGCAGGGGAGACUGGAAUUCCUGGUGAUAGCGGUGGAAUGCGCAGAUAUCAGGAGGAACACCGGUGGCGAAGGCGGGUCUCUGGGCAGUAACUGACGCUGGAGGAGCG
rnacentral:rRNA from 1 species